rnacentral:ncRNA from 1 species
CUAGCAUUCUGCUGCGCUGGUUUGCCUGUUCGCAGGCGGGGGAAUACGGUGAGAAUCCGUAACUGACGCGCAGCGGUAAGAGAGAACGAAAGACACAAGGCAGAUAGCCAGACACUGUUUCAAUCGGCAAGCGCAAUGUGGGCCAGAUGAAAUGGGAAGUCGUUGUCCUAGGCGGUUGUUCAACCAUGCUCUCAAGUCCGAAGACCGACCAGCGAGACAGGCAGUAU